AAUGAAAGAGGUCCACUGAGCCCUUUGAGAAGGGCCUGGUGAGGUUACUGGCCCAGGGAGACCAGUAUGAGCCCAGGGACCUGGAGAGGACACUACAGGAGAUGCUUCUGUCAGCCCCAGCAGCCUUCAGGCAGAGACUAGAGGUCUGCAGGUUCCUCCUCCCCCACUGUGGCCCUGUCUCAGCCUUCAGGGAGAUAAUACAGUACUUCCUGGAAAGACCUGUAAGGCACCUGAGCACUUUAAAAAAGACUGCACUGAGCCAUCCUGUCAGGAACAUGACAUAGGUUCUCACCACGUAGGGCAUCAGACGGCGUGCAGCAGCAAGAGCCUAGGCCAGAGGUAAGAGCUCUACCUGUUCAGUCCAAGACAUGUGACCUUGUGGCUGAUGCACUGAUGGGUUAUACUAAGAGGAUCCCUGC
rnacentral:lncRNA from 1 species